rnacentral:rRNA from 1 species
ACAGGGAUUGCCUCAGUAACGGCGAGUGAAGCGGCAACAGCUCAAAUUUGAAAUCNGNCUCCUUUUGGGGUCCGAGUUGUAAUUUGUAGAGGAUGUUUGGGNGCGCCCACGGUCUAAGUUCUCUGGAACGAGACGUCAUAGAGGGGUGAGAAUCCCGUCUGAGANCGCCNGNNCAAGCCCGUGUAAAACUCNUUCGACGAGUCGAGUUGUUUGGGAAUGCAGCUCAAAAUGGGUGGUAAAUUUCAUCUAAAGCUAAAUAUUGGCCAGAGACCGAUAGCGCACAAGUAGAGUGAUCGAAAGAUGAAAAGCACUUUGAAAAGAGAGUUAAACAGCAUGUGAAAUUGUUGAAAGGGAAGCUCUUGCGACCAGACUCACCCACGGGGGUUCCCCGGGCGUUCUCGCCCGGUCACUCCCCCGCCGGUUGGGCCAGCAUCGGUUUGGGGCGGUCGGUCAAAGGCCUCUGGAAGGUAUCAUCCCCCGGGAUGUCUUAUAGCCAGAGGUGCAAUGCGGCCUGCCUGGAUCGAGGAACGCGCUUCGGCACGGAUGCUGGCGUAAUGGUCGUAAGCGACCCGUCUUGAAACACGGACCAAGGAGUCAACCAACUAUGCGAGUGUUUGGGUGUCAAACCCCGGCGCGCAAUGAAAGUGAACGGAGGUGGGAACCUUAGGGUGCACCAUCGACCGAUCCUGAUGUCUUCGGAUGGAUUUGAGUAAGAGCAUAGCUGGUUGGACCCGAAAGAUGGUGAACUAUGCCUGAAUAGGGUGAAGCCAGAGGAAACUCUGGUGGAGGCUCGCAGCNGUUCUGACGUGCAAAUCGAUCGUCAAAUUUGGGUAUAGGGGCGAAAGACUAAUCGAACCAU